AUUGAACGCUGGCGGCAGGCCUAACACAUGCAAGUCGAACGAGUGGCGGACGGGUGAGUAAUGUCUGGGACACUGCCCGAUGGAGGGGGAUAACUACUGGAAACGGUAGCUAAUACCGCAUACCAUCGGAUGUGCCCAGAUGGGAUUAGCUAGUAGGUGGGGUAAUGGCUCACCUAGGCGACGAUCCGUAACUGGUCCGAGAGGAUGAUCAGUCACACUGGAACUGGGACACGGUCCAUACUCCUACGGGAGGCAGCAGUGGGGAAUUUUGGACAAUGGGCGAAAGCCUGAUCCAGCCAUGCCGCGUGUGUGAAGAAGGUCUUCGGAUUGUAAAGCACUUUAAGUUGGGAGGCGUUACCAACAGAAUAAGCACCGGCUAACUACGUGCCAGCAGCCGCGGUAAUAC
rnacentral:rRNA from 1 species